rnacentral:ncRNA from 2 species
UGGAAGACUAGUGAUUUUGUUGUGAUGCUGAGCAAUGAGAACAACAAGUCCCAGUCUGCCUCU